rnacentral:rRNA from 1 species
GUGUCAGCAGCCGCGGUAAUACGUAGGGGGCAAGCGUUAUCCGGAAUUAUUGGGCGUAAAGAGUGCGUAGGUGGUUUUGUAAGCGCGGGGUGAAAGGCAAUAGCUCAACUAUUGUAAGCCCUGCGAACUGUGAGACUUGAGUGCAGGAGAGGAAAGCGGAAUUCCUAGUGUAGCGGUGAAAUGCGUAGAUAUUAGGAGGAACACCAGUGGCGAAGGCGGCUUUCUGGACUGUAACUGACACUGAGGCACGAAAGCGUGGGGAGCAAACAGGAUUAGAUACCCUGGUAGUCCACGCCGUAAACGAUGAGCACUAGGUGUCGGGGCCGCAAGGUUUCGGUGCCGCAGUUAACGCAUUAAGUGCUCCGCCUGGGGAGUACGCACGCAAGUGUGAA